UCGAAGCCUGCCGACCUCUCCUCGUG
rnacentral:sRNA from 1 species